AUUGAACGCUGGCGGCAUGCCUUACACAUGCAAGUCGAACGGCAGCACGGGUGCUUGCACCUGGUGGCGAGUGGCGAACGGGUGAGUAAUACAUCGGAACAUGUCCUGUAGUGGGGGAUAGCCCGGCGAAAGCCGGAUUAAUACCGCAUACGAUCUACGGAUGACAGCGGGGGACCUUCGGGCCUCGCGCUAUAGGGUUGGCCGAUGGCUGAUUAGCUAGUUGGUGGGGUAAAGGCCUACCAAGGCGACGAUCAGUAGAUGGUCUGAGAGGACGACCAGCCACACUGGGACUGAGACACGGCCCAGACUCCUACGGGAGGCAGCAGUGGGGAAUUUUGGACAAUGGGCGAAAGCCUGAUCCAGCAAUGCCGCGUGUGUGAAGAAGGCCUUCGGGUUGUAAAGCACUUUUGUCCGGAAAGAAAUCCUUGGCUCUAAUACAGUCGGGGGAUGACGGUACCGGAAGAAUAAGCACCGGCUAACUACGU
rnacentral:rRNA from 1 species